rnacentral:sRNA from 1 species
GCUUAGUAAGUCCUGAAUUGAACAGCUACACAUCAAGUCUUAUGGUCACUUUGAAGAGAAUAAAGCCAGAGGGAUUCCUGGUGUGUCUCCGUUCUUCCCUGCCAGGGAGUUAGUGGUUCUGAGUUGGCUACGGUGAGUGUGCAACUCACCAAACAUCCCUCUUCCUCCUUCCUUUCACUCCCUUCUCAGAGCAUGAUGGAAGCCUGUGUUUUCAUUUCAGACUGAUGGGUUUCUGAAGGACAACAACAAUGCUGCCCAGCGCCUGUUGGACGGGAUGAACUUCAUGGCUCAGUCGGUGUCCGAGCUUAGCCUUGGACCCACCAAGGCUGUGACUUCCUGGCUGACAGACCAGAUCGCCCCUGCCUACUGGAGGCCCAACUCCCAGAUUCUGAGCUGCAACAAGUGUGCGACGUCCUUUAAAGAUAACGACACUAAGCAUCACUGCCGAGCCUGUGGGGAGGGCUUCUGUGACAGCUGUUCAUCAAAGACUCGGCCAGUGCCUGAGCGGGGCUGGGGCCCUGCGCCGGUGCGGGUGUGUGACAACUGCUACGAAGCCAGGAACGUCCAGUUAGCUGUUACCGAGGCACAAGUGGACGAUGAAGGUGGAACACUCAUUGCUCGGAAGGUGGGCGAGGCUGUGCAGAACACUCUGGGAGCCGUGGUGACAGCCAUUGACAUACCACUAGGUCUGGUAAAGGACGCGGCCAGGCCUGCGUACUGGGUGCCUGACCACGAAAUCCUCCACUGCCACAACUGCCGGAAGGAGUUCAGCAUCAAGCUCUCCAAGCACCACUGCCGGGCCUGCGGACAGGGCUUCUGUGAUGAGUGCUCCCAUGACCGCCGGGCUGUCCCUUCUCGUGGCUGGGACCAU